rnacentral:rRNA from 1 species
UGCCAGACUCCUACGGGAGGCAGCAGUGGGGAAUAUUGCACAAUGGGGGAAACCCUGAUGCAGCGACGCCGCGUGAGCGAUGAAGUAUUUCGGUAUGUAAAGCUCUAUCAGCAGGGAAGAAGAUGACGGUACCUGACUAAGAAGCCCCGGCUAACUACGUGCCAGCAGCCGCGGUAAUACGUAGGGGGCAAGCGUUAUCCGGAUUUACUGGGUGUAAAGGGAGCGUAGACGGCGAUGCAAGCCAGAUGUGAAAGCCCGGGGCUCAACCCCGGGACUGCAUUUGGAACUGUGUGGCUGGAGUGUCGGAGAGGCAGGCGGAAUUCCUAGUGUAGCGGUGAAAUGCGUAGAUAUUAGGAGGAACACCAGUGGCGAAGGCGGCCUGCUGGACGAUGACUGACGUUGAGGCUCGAAAGCGUGGGGAGCAAACAGGAUUAGAUACCCCGGUACG